GAUACUGGCGGACGGGUGAGUAACACGUGGGUAACCUGCCUGUAAGACUGGGAUAACUCCGGGAAACCGGGGCUAAUACCGGAUGCUUGAUUGAACCGCAUGGUUCAAUUAUAAAAGGUGGCUUUUAGCUACCACUUACAGAUGGACCCGCGGCGCAUUAGCUAGUUGGUGAGGUAACGGCUCACCAAGGCGACGAUGCGUAGCCGACCUGAGAGAAUGAUCGGCCACACUGGGACUGAGACACGGCCCAGACUCCUACGGGAGGCAGCAGUAGGGAAUCUUCCGCAAUGGACGAAAGUCUGACGGAGCAACGCCGCGUGAGUGAUGAAGGUUUUCGGAUCGUAAAACUCUGUGUUAGGGAAGAACAAGUACCGUUCGAAUAGGGCGAUACCUUGACGGUACCUAACCAGAAAGCCACGGCUAACUACGGUGCCAGCAGCCGCGGUAAUACG
rnacentral:rRNA from 1 species